AAUCACGCCGGGUCAGCUCUUCCCAAAAAUCGGCCAUCUGAUAUAAACUUUUUCAAUAUAUUUCGGAUGGACAUGAAACUUGCUACAUCAAUAUAACUUUCCAUUCCGAACAAUCGUAUGUUUUUUUAUUUUUGAGAUUUAACGGUUUUUGGCGGGAAAAUGACGUCACGAAACCUCCAGUUAAAAUUUAUUUUCAAUAUCUUAAUAGUUUUUAAGCAGAAUGUGGAAGAUCAUGUCAUGAAGAGUUCAAAACUGAAAAGAGAUUUUAAAUAUCUUAAUUUAAUCACGAGAUACAGGGAGUUUAGAAUCGAAUUUUCCACCAUUUUGUUACUAUUUUUAGAUUUUUCACGGUUUUUAUAGUGAAAUAACUUUGGAUUAGGUUUAAAUAUUUAAAAUCCGUUUUCAGUUUUGAACUGUUCAUGACAUGUUCUUCCAAAUUCUGCGACAAAACUAUUAAGAUAUUGAAAGUAAAUUUUAACUGGAGGUUUCGUGACGUCAUUUUCCCGCCAAAAACCGUUAAAUCUCAAAAAUAAAAAACAUACGAUUGUUCGGAAUGGAAAGUUAUAUUGAUGUAGCAAGUUUCAUGUCCAUCCGAAAUAUAUUGAAAAAGUUUAUAUCAGAUGGCCGAUUUUUGGGAAGAGCUGACCCGGCGUGAAUUA